UAGUCCACGCCGUAAACGAUGGACACUAGAUGUCGGGAGCACUUACUCUCUCGGUGUCGAAGCUAACGCGUUAAGUGUCCCGCCUGGGGAGUACGGCCGCAAGGUUAAAACUCAAAGAAAUUGACGGGGGCCCGCACAAGCGGUGGAGUAUGUGGUUUAAUUCGAUGCAACGCGUAAAACCUUACCUGGGUUUGAAAUCCCGCGCUAUCCUAGGAAACUAGGGGUUCUCUUCGGAGACGCGGUGACAGGUGCCGCAUGGCUGUCGUCAGCUCGUGUCGUGAGAUGUUGGGUUAAGUCCCGCAACGAGCGCAACCCUUGUCAUUAGUUGCCAGCAUUUAGUUGGGCACUCUAAUGAGACCGCUCGCCGAUAAGACAGAGGAAGGUGGGGAUGACGUCAAGUCCGCAUGGCCCUUACAUCCAGGGCUACACACGUACUACAAUGGCCGGUACAAUGCGCUGCGAUACCGCGAGGUGGAGCUAAUCGCACAAAGCCGGUCCCAGUUCGGAUUGGAGU
rnacentral:rRNA from 1 species